AUGAUAAGAGUUGCAGCUCCAUUAUUUCCUUGUUCUAAACUCUCAAAAGCACGUGAUGUCGUGGCAGCAGCAAUGGAGGUCUCCAAGGCCCCUUCCUCUUCUAGUUUGGCAACCCACCAGCCCUCCAAGCACAGUGCCAAUGCGGUGUGCUUCGACGUGGAUUGCACGGUAUGCUUGGAUGAGGGUAUUAAUGAGCUUGCUGAUUUCUGUGGGGCUGGGCAGGCGGUUGGCAAUGACAAGACCGUUCUAUUUGAAGAGGCUCUUCCUGCCUGGAUCUCUUUAAUUAAGUUAUCUCUGUCCCAAGUUGAGGAUUGUUUGGAGAAGAGGCCACCGAGGAUUUCUCGUGGAAAUGUUGAUUUUAUUAAUACAUUAAAAGCCAAUAAUACUAAAGUAUUCCUUGUGUCCGGAGGUUUCCGGCAAAUGAUCAAGUCUUUGGUGUUUGGUCUUGGGAUUCCUACUGAAAACAUCAUAGAAAACCAAUUGCUAUUUGGAUCAUCUGGCUUUUAA
rnacentral:rRNA from 1 species